AUUGGUCCAUGGCCUUUUGGCUAAGAUCAAGUGUAGUAUCUGUUCUUAUCAGUUUUAUAUCUGAUACUUUCUCUAUCAGAGAAUUAAACGCAUUUUUACAACAGGGAGAUGGCAGAGGGGCUUGCUCUGGCCGCUCCAUUUUUUUUUUUUACGGGCAGCCGUGGUCUGAAGGUUAGAGAACCAGGC